rnacentral:rRNA from 1 species
UACGUAGGGGGCAAGCGUUGUCCGGAAUCAUUGGGCGUAAAGAGCGUGUAGGCGGCUCGAUAAGUCUGCUGUGAAAGUCCAGGCUCAACCCCGGGUCGGCCGUGCGAACUGUCGAGCUGGAGCACUGUAGAGGCAGGUGGAAUUCCGGGUGUAGCGGUGGAAUGCGUAGAGAUCCGGAAGAACACCGGUGGCGAAGGCGGCCUGCUGGGCAGUGGCUGACGCUGAGGCGCGCAGCGUGGGGAGCAAACAGG